UCCUCGUUAGUAUAGUGGACAGUAUCUCCGCCUGUCCGCGCGCGGAAGACCGGGGUUCGAUUCCCCGGCGGGAGA
rnacentral:tRNA from 1 species